rnacentral:rRNA from 1 species
CUUGGUCAUUUAGAGGAAGUAAAAGUCGUAACAAGGUUUCCGUAGGUGAACCUGCGGAAGGAUCAUUAUUGAAAUAAACCUGAUGAGUUGUUGCUGGUUCUCUAGGGAGCAUGUGCACGCUUGUCGUCUUUAUAUCUCCACCUGUGCACCUUUUGUAGACCUGGAUAUCUCUCUGAAUACUAGUCAUUCAGGUUUGAGGCUUGACUUUAUGUCUCUCCUUACAUUUCCAGGCCUAUGUUUCUUCAUAUACCCCAAUGUAUGUCAUAGAAUGUAAUCAAUGGGCCUUUGUGCCUAUAAACCUAUACAACUUUCAGCAACGGAUCUCUUGGCUCUCGCAUCGAUGAAGAACGCAGCGAAAUGCGAUAAGUAAUGUGAAUUGCAGAAUUCAGUGAAUCAUCGAAUCUUUGAACGCACCUUGCGCUCCUUGGUAUUCCGAGGAGCAUGCCUGUUUGAGUGUCAUUAAUAUAUCAACCUCUUCUUCAGCUUUUGCUUGUUGGGUGUUGGAUGUGGGGGGUUACUUUUUUUUGCUGGCCUUUUGCAGGUCAGCUCCCCUGAAAUGCAUUAGCGGAACAAUCUGUGGACCCGUUCAUUGGUGUGAUAACUAUCUACACUAUUGACGUGAAACAAGUUCAGCUUCUAACAGUCCAUUGACUUGGACAACUUUUCAUUAAUGUGACCUCAAAUCAGGUAGGACUACCCGCUGAACUUAAGCAUAUCAAUAAGCGGAGGA